UACAGAGGGGGCAAGCGUUAUUCGGAAUUAUUGGGCGUAAAGGGCGCGUAGGCGGCUUGGCAAGUGGAAGGUGAAAUCCCUCGGCUUAACCGAGGAACUGCCCUCCAAACUGCUUGGCUUGAGACCGGGAGAGGUGAGUGGAAUUCCCAGUGUAGCGGUGAAAUGCGUAGAGAUCGGGAGGAACAUCUGUGGCGAAGGCGGCCAUCUGGACCAGCACUGACACUGAGGCACGAAAGCGUGGGGAGCAAACAGG
rnacentral:rRNA from 1 species